rnacentral:misc_RNA from 1 species
UCCAAUUCCUUUAUUCACUAUCUUUAAGUAACCAUAAAGGCAUGCCAAAAAAGAAAUAUUUUUCUCGUUUGUUUCAAAAGCAAAGUAAUUGUUGUCAAUUUGUCACUCAUUAAUUUCAAAAAUAUCCACAUCCAUAACAUAAAAUAUUUAUCUGUAAAUAAUGUCGCUCCAAAUGUGGAGUAAAACUCAUAAUUUCCAAGUGCAUAAUUUAC